rnacentral:rRNA from 1 species
GACAGAGGGGGCAAGCGUUGCUCGGAAUCACUGGGCGUAAAGGGCGCGUAGGCGGGAUGGCAAGUCGGUCGUGAAAUCCUUCGGCUCAACCGAAGAACGUCGGCCGAUACUGCCGUUCUUGAGGGAUGCAGAGGAGAUUGGAAUUCCCGGUGUAGCGGUGAAAUGUGUAGAGAUCGGGAGGAACACCGGUGGCGAAGGCGGCUCACUGGACUGGUAUUGACGCUGAGGUGCGAAAGCGUGGGGAGCAAACAGG